AUUGAACGCUGGCGGCAGGCCUAACACAUGCAAGUCGAACGGUAACAGGAAGCAGCUUGCUGCUUCGCUGACGAGUGGCGGACGGGUGAGUAAUGUCUGGGAAACUGCCUGAUGGAGGGGGAUAACUACUGGGAACGGUAGCUAAUACCGCAUAACGUCGCAAGACCAAAGAGGGGGACCUUAGGGCCUCUUGCCAUCGGAUGUGCCCAGAUGGGAUUAGCUAGUAGGUGGGGUAACGGCUCACCUAGGCGACGAUCCCUAGCUGGUCUGAGAGGAUGACCAGCCACACUGGAACUGAGACACGGUCCAGACUCCUACGGGAGGCAGCAGUGGGGAAUAUUGCACAAUGGGCGCAAGCCUGAUGCAGCCAUGCCGCGUGUAUGAAGAAGGCCUUCGGGUUGUAAAGUACUUUCAGCGGGGAGGAAGGGAGUAAAGUUAAUACCUUUGCUCAUUGACGUUACCCGCAGAAGAAGCACCGGCUAACUCCGUG
rnacentral:rRNA from 1 species